UUUUGUGAAGGCACAGAACAGCGAUAGAAAGGUAAGAAGCCUUUGCUCGCUCUUGAUUCGUUAUCCCGUAUAAUUCCACCUCCCUAUAAAUAUUUCUCGGUGUUAUGCCUGGCUUCUUACCUCUCGAUCGCGGCAAUUGUUUUCGCUCUUAUAGCCACUUGUCUUGCAAUUUGCAGUCGCUACCCCUUUGCAGAGCGAUUGGCUUUCCGAUUCGCCGCAAGCGGCAAAUUUUAAUCUUGGAGCAGCCAAGAUGAUGUGAUCGACAAAAUUGGAAGAUUACUCGCCUCUGUCUCUCUGCUCGCUCCCUCCCUCCCUCCCUCUCUCUCUCUCCCUCUCUCUCUCUUAUCGCAUCCUCUCUUCCUCUCCUCUAAAGAACACAAGAAGAAAAAAGAGGAGGAGAAAGUGAUUCUAGCCAGAUAGUGCUGUUUGAUUUCCACUGCUUGCUCCAUACUUUGCGACCGGGACGGAACAGCGCCACCACUUACGACGAAACGAACCGAAAGAUAUUUCCUCAGGAGGUGAGGGUACUCUCACACGCACAAUCACGACACCCAUACGCACGCUCCUUCGUCACCAAGCUUAUAUUCCAUCCCACAAGUUGAUUAACACGGCUCACACUGUCUCCACCCAGCAGGACUAGAAGCCCCCGCGAGCUUGGAGCAUCAUCUCUAACGCCAGCGCCGCCAGCUUCAUCGCCACACUCCGCCGC